UACAGAGGGGGCAAGCGUUGUUCGGAAUUACUGGGCGUAAAGGGCGCGUAGGCGGCCUUCUAAGUCGAACGUGAAAUCCCCGGGCUCAACCCGGGAACUGCGUCCGAGACUGAAAGGCUUGAAUCCGGGAGAGGGAUGUGGAAUUCCAGGUGUAGCGGUGAAAUGCGUAGAUAUCUGGAGGAACAUCGGUGGCGAAGGCGGCAUCCUGGACCGGUAUUGACGCUGAGGCGCGAAAGCCAGGGGAGCAAAGCGGGG
rnacentral:rRNA from 1 species